rnacentral:rRNA from 1 species
GAACGAACACCCGUAAGACAAACCAUUUUUCCCCCUAAGUAUGGGCGACAGAAAAGGAGCAAAGGAGCAAUAGAAAAGUACCGUAAGGGAACGCUGAAAGAGAAAUGAAACAACCCAGUAAAGUAAAAAAAAGCAAAGAUUAACCCUUGUACCUUUUGCAUCAUGAUUUAGCCAGUGUAAAUUAAGCAAAGAGUACUUUAGUUUAACAACCCGAAACUAGGUGAGCUACUCCAAGACAGCCUAAAUUGUAGGGCGAACCCGUCUCUGUUGCAAAAGAGUGGGAAGAGCUUCGAGUAGAGGUGACAAGCCUACCGACCCUAGUGAUAGCUGGUUGCUUAAGAAUUGGAUAUGAGUUCAGCCUCCAGGCUUCUUUGUUCAGACCCAGUAGUACUUUGUAAGAUAGAGAGAACACCAGGAGAGUAAGUCAAAGGGGGUACAGCUCCUUUGACCCAAGACACAACUUUUACAGGAGGAUAAAGAUCAUACUAACUAAAGGCAUAAUUUCCCGUGGGCUUGAAAGCAGCCACCAAUUGCAAAAAGCGUCUAAGCUUAUAUACACUUAUGCUCCCCUCCCUAAUAAUGAUCAUUUAAUCUUAAUCCCCUAAGUUUAUUAAGCCGUCCUAUGCAAACAUAGGAGUGACUAUGCUAAUAUGAGUAAUUAGAGAGCUCACACCUCUCUCCCUGCACACGUGUAAAUCAGAAUGGAUACCCCACUGAAUAUUAGCGGCCCCAAACCAAGAGGGAACUAAGUAAGACAUCGAUAGACAAGAAAACCACUUAACAAAUAACCGUUAACCCUACACAGGAGUGCUCACGAGGAAAGACUAAAAGAAGGAGAAGGAACUCGGCAAACAUCAAGCCUCGCCUGUUUACCAAAAACAUCGCCUCUUGUCCCCCUGAAAAUAAGAGGUCCAACCUGCCCUGUGACUAUAUGUUCAACGGCCGCGGUAUUUUGACCGUGCGAAGGUAGCGUAAUCACUUGUCUCUUAAAUGGAGACCUGUAUGAAUGGCAUUACGAGGGCUUAACUGUCUCCUCCCUCAGGUCAGUGAAAUUGAUCUCCCCGUGCAGAAGCGGGGAUAAGAACAUAAGACGAGAAGACCCCGUGGAGCUUUAGAUGCAAGAGCAGCGCAUGUUACACACCCCUAAGCAAGGAUUAAAACUUUAUGCCCCCCUGCCCUAAUGUCUUCGGUUGGGGCGACCGCGGAUUAAAUUUAACCUCCGUGUGGAAUGGGAGUACUUCAAUUCAUAUUUCCUCCUAAAACUAAGAGCGACAGCUCUAAGAAACAAAACUUUUGACCUAAGAAGAUCCGGCAACGCCGAUCAACGAACCGAGUUACCCCGGGGAUAACAGCGCAAUCCUCUUCUAGAGCCCCUAUCGACAAGAGGGUUUACGACCUCGAUGUUGGAUCAGGACAUCCUAAUGGUGCAGCCGCUAUUAAGGGUUCGUUUGUUCAACG